rnacentral:rRNA from 1 species
AGCGAACGCUGGCGGCAGGCCUAACACAUGCAAGUCGAACGAAGUCUUCGGACUUAGUGGCGGACGGGUGAGUAACACGUGGGAACGUGCCUUUAGGUUCGGAAUAACUCAGGGAAACUUGUGCUAAUACCGAAUGUGCCCUUCGGGGGAAAGAUUUAUCGCCUUUAGAGCGGCCCGCGUCUGAUUAGCUAGUUGGUGAGGUAAAGGCUCCCCAAGGCGACGAUCAGUAGCUGGUCUGAGAGGAUGAUCAGCCACAUUGGGACUGAAACACGGCCCAACCUCCUACGGGAGGCAGCAGUGGGGAAUCUUGCGCAAUGGGCGAAGGCCUGACGCAGCCAUGCCGCGUGAAUGAUGAAGGUCUUAGGAUUGUAAAAUUCUUUCACCGGUGACGAUAAUGACGGUACCCGGAGAAGAAGCCCCGGCUAACUUCGUGCCAGCCGCCGCCGUAACAC